UCCAGGUCCAUUUUCCGGAAGUACAGGAAGUUGGUGAUAAGACGCCAGAAUUGAUAAUGCUUAACCACAAGUGUAGGAUGCAAGUACAGAUUAUGAGGAGAUAUUAUAUCUAGGGAACAACCGAUGGUGGUGACAAUAGCUGCUGUAAGAUUGCUGUUAGAUAAGAGCGGGUGAUAAUAGGCAUCUGCUUGUACCAUUCCUCAACUGCUUGAGCCAUAAUUACAAAUUUCCUAUAAUCUCUAGUUAAUAAAAGGGUUUGGCUAAAAUUUUUGAGAUUAAAAAAAAAAACGUAAUGACUUAGUGAUUAAUAACAAUCCUUCAGAAGAAGAAAUAGCAAAAGGGAUUUCGAAGAUCGACACACACAGUUUUGGAAUAACAGAAGGAAAGAGGAGCUAGUUGCAGAACAGCUAACAUACGUGCGAUGUAUGUACCCAACCCCAGUCUGCUAUCUCUGUCAUGGCCAAAAGCAUAUUUUG
rnacentral:misc_RNA from 1 species